UACGUAGGCAGCAAGCGUUGUUCGGAAUUACUGGGCGUAAAGGGCUCGUAGGCGGCCCACUAAGUCCGACGUGAAAUCCCCAGGCUUAACUUGGGAACUGCGUCGGAUACUGGUGGGCUUGAAUCCGGGAGAGGGAUGCGGAAUUCCAGGUGUAGCGGUGAAAUGCGUAGAUAUCUGGAGGAACACCGGUGGCGAAGGCGGCAUCCUGGACCGGCAUUGACGCUGAGUGAGCGAAAGCCAGGGGAGCAAACGGG
rnacentral:rRNA from 1 species